rnacentral:misc_RNA from 1 species
AGAAAAAAAAAAAAAAUGAAAAAGAAGAGAGGGAGAGAGCAUGAAAUUUCAACUAUUUAACAUGUCAAGCUCAAGCCAGCCUUAAUCCUGGAUCAGUCAGCAAGGUGAUAUAUAGCACCUCUUAAGCACACUGAUGCAGCAAUUACUAAACCAAAAAUGAAUUUAUAUGGAACAGAAAUCUGAAUAAAAUAAAUAUAAACAGACUCGUAAGGCAGAGCAAAGAAACAUGCAUAGAUAUAAUCCUCUUUACUUUUUUUUUUUUU